GGCGCGGAACGCAGCGGAUGUCUCCACCUGUGAUCCCACGCAGCGCGCACCGGCCGCCGCAAAGCAAGCGCGAGCAAACAGAGUUUGUUUUCCACGCGCGGGGCGCGCAGAACGGAUGGAAUGGCUGAAAAACUGGCGGCCGCCUUGCGGAAACCCGAAGGCUGUCUUUACGGAGUGGAGAACCUUUGGCAUGUUCGAAGGCAGAUGACCCUGGUUUACAUUUGCUCGUGUCAAAGGCACUGCAUGCUACAGACAGAGCAGACCGAAACCAACAGAGUGCUUCACAGAUAGUGAUGGAGGGCGAAAAUGCAAAAGAACAACUGCAGCAUCUAAAGGGAAGUUUUCCAAGCACGGGAGAAGGGGCAUACUGGAACAAGAAGAGCCUUCGCUCCUAGCUGGGCGGCUCCAGAUUAUUCACUGGGUAAUCUUCCUCCAGUAAGAAGUGUCCUGAACUGAGAGGCAUCUUUGAUCAACCACUCCUUACCAAAGUGAUCAAAACUGAAACAAGUGGAUCAGAAAUGAACAUUAACUACAGCAGUGUGAUCUAUUGCUCUGACACCUACUUGCCACAGGAGGAAGGUAAGGUCUCCGUUUGUCUCUGCUAAAGGAAUGUGAUAUUUCUAACAUGAGGUUAGAAGGCUGCAGUGACAGGAGCUGGGGCAUGCCCAGUUCCUGCGGUGAGAAGCUGUGCUUCAGUGAGGGCACUCCAUAGCCCAUCACUCCUCACUAACAAAAUGACUUGGUUCCAUCAAUCUGAUUUACAGGAGAGGGAACUGAUGUGGAGAAAUGAGCAGUGCCAUUGGGAACGUGUGUUUUUAAGUGAUAGAUCACCGAGUGACUUCAUGUAGACCAAUGUUACUCAAUACUGUCCCAUUUGAUUGUGUUCUGAGAUACGUAGGUUGCAACGUUUUCUUGAACUGCUGAUUCUGCUUUAGCCAUCUUCCACGUUGACAGUGUCCGUGUCCGUGUUGGGCUCACUGCAGUCCCUGAUUUGCUAGAGAAGUAGUUGCCAUGGCUCAGCGCUGUGCCAGACGGGGCCCCCGCCGCUCUGAGGAAUUUGUGUCAGAUAGAACAUUUCGUACAAUGCAGAAGGUUCUGUCACCUUGAUUCGAAGGAAGUUGUUUGUGUUAAUGCUUAAAGGUAACGUGAGACAAGGCGAGCUCUUUACUUUGGAACACGCGCUGAGCCAUUGAUGUACGCAGUACAGUAAAUAUAACAAAGAGCGCACUGUGGUAUUUACACCCACCGCAAACACGUUUGCAAAAUAGGAUUAUUUACAAUCCAAUGAAAUAGUACUGCUUUUAAGGCAGAAACCCUGUGUGUUCAGUGAAGUGUCCUCCUCAGCUUUUCUUGCCGUUUAUCGACCCAACACAUUCCUCCCCAUUUUUUUUUUAAUGCCUUCCAUUAAUAGUUAAGAAAAACCUAGGGAAAACAAACACUCUUUUCCUGAUUGUUUAUUCACCAGUCUCUUAGGAACCAUAAUUACGUCUCCCAGGAAUUGUGUGUUUUAUCAUACUGUAUAUCUUAAAGAGCCACUUUAGGUAAAAUAACAAGGAGUGCCUUAUGAAGGAAAAUUGGAUUCGUUUUAAGACUUUUUUAACCCUCCAAAGAAUGGCUCUUUGUUUACUUCUUUAGUGCAUGUGGCAACUUGCCCAAGUAAAUACUAUGCUGCAUAAAUACCAGAGAUUGGUAUUUAUGAUAUUACAUAAACAUACUCUGAAUAAUGACUCAUUGUUGCGAUGAAGACGAAUGCAAGCAAUAUACAUCGCAGUCAGUGCGUUAUUUCUUGUCACUUUAUUAAGUGACACUGAGCAUUGUAGGACAAAAUGACAGUGAUUGGAGAGGAGAAGUCUGAUUGCAUUAUUUACCAGAUCUGAGUUUACAAAACAAAAGAGAAAACAGCCAAAACAGGAAGGUUAUGAGGAUAACAUAGCUGAUUAAUUAUCAAUGUGCAGGAUAAGUAGUUAGGUGCAUGCUGGGGUUGAAUGGAAAAAGAUUUAUUGCUCUUUGAAUUGAAAACUCAUGCAGUGCGUUUAUUCCACUGUCCCAACAGGCAGCUGAGCCCUCAGGUUCAUCAUCCUACCUGUGGUGAUGCUCAUGUCCACUUGUGACAAUAGUUAUUUCCCUUAUGGAGCCGCUCUUUUGGUGGCUUUGUUUCUCAGAGCCUCGGUCUGUCCAGUUAGAGUUUUGUUACACCUUUACUGCACUCCAGAAAAAUCAUGUGAGGGUUUGUGUGAAGGGAAAAUGUGGCACACUUUGUGGUGCUGCCAAGUGAUGGAACUCAGAUCUGAGAAAUCAAAAUCCCAAAGGGAAGGUGCAUAUGCCGAAACCUCUAUUUAAAGCCAGCAGGGUGUUACCAACUUACUUAUUUUUAAAGCCCAUGGUUAUAGCCUAUAUGCUGCUGUCCAAACAGCGAAAACAGCGGACACUCAAAUUCUCAAAGGAUCACUGAACCAUCCCUUUAAAAAUGAUGAUGAAAAUUAUCACCCAUAGUAAUGGACUAGCCUGAAAAAUGUGAUUUUUUGGAAAUGUUACUCUUUCCCUGAAGCAGCCCUUCAGAAACAGCAGAGAAAUCUUCAAAGUGGGAGGGUGAUCCUCAUAAUAUAUGGAGGAGUGGGAUGCUCAGCUGUGGGAGCACUCUCCUCCAUGACUGCAGGCCUGCAUGCUGUGGUUGAGGUGAGGCUUUUGGUGUUUGAUGGGGUUUAUCACCAGCAGAAGAAAUUUGUUCCUAGGUGUGAAUAAAGGAGUACCUAUAUUUUCCUAAGUGAACAUCUUUCACGCUUGCGUGCUCAAGAAGAUAGCAGUGGAUGGGGCCAACAACCUCUGCAAAGUGCCUGGGCUUAUGGAAACCACUGCUUUACUGCAUGGUCAGCAGCUGUUUAUUGUGGUUAUUAAACUGUGUCUUUUUCCUUUGAUUGUAACUAUUUCCUUCCUGGUUUUACUUCUUUAGUCAAAACCCACUCUGUGUAAGGAGAACUGUGUUUUGAUGUACUCGGGUGCCAUGUGCUGAUCCAUCCCAUGUGCAAGGUUGAACUGAACAAAUGUUGACUUUUCUCCCUUGUGCUUCACAUACUUUGUACAGGUUAGGAGGGAACACAGGGGACAGGAGAACAGAAGUCUUCUGGUCUGCAAAGACGAACGAUGUCACCUGGUCCAGAAUAAAGCAAGCUCAGCUAGCUCUACCAGCAAGCUUAGGAAUGACAGUGAUGAUCUAUCUGUGUGCCAUCCUGGAUAACACAAAAUUUGUGCCUAAACCCUAAUAGACAACACCUCUAAAGACUGCAUGUCCAAGUAGAAAGGAGCGAGAUACCUCCCACGUAUGUCCUUAUUUUCCCAGAAGAAAACAGAGUUGUAAUGUAUAUUAGCAAAGUUGAGAGGACAGGAACUGCGGUCAAACAUCAAAUUCAGCCACAAUUCUAUUUCUUCUUCAUACUAUUAUUAAAUCACACUGCCCAAAGCCUCCACAUCUGUUGUGCUUGGUGCUCUUCAAACACAGGAUAUCAUGCUUAGGCAUCACUCCUUUAUUUGGAUUUGAAGCCAUGCCUCACCGCUGUUUGUGUCAAAACAGUUACCUGUGCCAGGCGGCCUUAAUCUGUAUUCUUACCUCGCAUUGUCUGGGGUCUGCUGCUCUGUCUUUCUGGGAGCCUGCGAUAUAAGAUGACAAAUUCUGGACAGCACUGAGGCCAGAUAACAUGCAAGCUCCAUCCCAGCCCCACAGAAGUCAGUGGGAAAGCUAGAUGGACAGCUGUGGUUUUGACUCAGGCCCAGAGAUACUGGAAAAUAACAAAGGGGACAGAAGGAAAGAGCUUGGUCAGCUUUCAGGGUUAUUCCUCAUUUCUUUUAAAAAGAAUAAAUACAUGUUUUUUGUUAUGACUUUCUCAGAAUAAGCUUGGUGCUGUCAGCUAGCCAUGUCUCAGCAAUGUGCUUGCAUGAUGAAGGCAAAGCAAUUCUGAGCUUACAGGCUUAACAUCCUUUUUCGGUACAGUUCAUUGCAAAGAAACCUGAGUAAUGCAUCUUCCCUCUGAAAUGCUUGUCUGCUUUGCAUAGAGAGCAUUCACACACUUUGCAUAAGCUUGAGGAUCACACUGACAAAGAAUGAUAGCACUGCUUAAGUAGUUAAUUUGGUUAUUUAUUCAUUUAAGUGUAUGUGAAUCAAGACAUUCUUUCUGUGAUCUGAAGUGACUGCCAAACCUCUGAUUAGUUUGUAGCUUUUACUGUGUCGUUUCAUUCUUUUGUUACAUAGGAUGGAUGCAGACUUAAUUCCACUGGCAAACACUUUGAAAAGGGCAGCCUCUGUAACACCUCCCAAAGAAGAAAAGACAGAGACAGACUGCAUGUCAUUCCUUCAUUCCUGCCUGCCCAUAUCAGCACUCACCGUGUCUAGAGAAAUGCACAAGAAUCACACAGUUCUAGGCAAAAAAUGCAUUUAUGUGAGCACUUGUUCUUCUGUGCAGAACAAAGUACAUCUGCCCUGCAGCUUUCCUGAGGGGUCAGUGACCCAGCAGCGAGGCACGCUGUGCCAGCACCAGAGAGUCACCAGAGGAGCUGUGAACUGCCCCAGAAAGAAAGCGGUGGUGCAAGAACCAGUCAAAUCCCUGCUGGGUGCCAGGGUCAGACAAUACCACACUCUACCAUCCGUUGAUCUGGUUCCUCCUUGUUUCUUCUGUUUAGAACUCUUCAUGGUAACACAAAAGCCAUAGCAACAACAUUAGGAUGGUCACUCUUGGUGGCCAGGCUGGGAAGAAAGGGAAUAGUAGGUGUGUCCUGCUUAGGUUGCUUCUGAAUUUGACCUGCUCAGCCGCUCCCUACCAAAAAUUCCCUCAACCAGCACAUCGGGCUCAUGCUGUAGGUGUCACAAACUCCACACAUGUAAUCAACUGGCUUCUUCUGAAAGGGAUUAGCCUAAGCAUUAGCAAAGAGCUAGAUAUCAUUUUUAAGGUAUCAGUACAUUUUUUAUCCGGGAACAUUACCAAGCAAAUUCAUUUGGAAGCCAUUUCCAAACACAUUGACAAGAAUGCAACUCAGAACAGGCAGCAUGGAUUUACUAAGGUCAAACUGUACCUGGCCAACAUGGUUGUCUUCUGUGCUGAAAUGACGUGCUGGAUAAACAAGUUAGGGAUGUUGUGGAUGUCACUUAUUUUGGUUUUAGAAUAGCCUGUAACAUUGUCUCCUGUCCAAAACAAACUGGGGUGGUACAGACUUCAUGGAUGGUCCACAGCACGCCUGGAAAAAGCACAUGAAGCUCAAAAGGCAAUAAUGGUCAACAACUAGACUUCUAAUUAAUUGCAUUAAGAAAUGGCAUUUUUCAAGGGACAAAACUAGAGCCUGUCUUCACUAACAUCCUGGAUGAAAGGGUGCAACGCGUGCUCUGCAUGUUUGCACAUGACACUGCAUUUAGGGUGUAGAUCAUUAUGCUGGAGGACAGGACAGCCAUUCACAUGCUCUUCAGCAGACUAACCUGACAGAAAUCUCCUCAAAUAUAUCAAAGAGAAAGACAAAAUCUGCACACAAUACAGAAUUAAUCUGUGCAACAGCAGAGGAUGGGAGCUGAGUGGUUAGCAAGGAGCUUCACUGAAAAAAGAAGCUGGGGUCCCAGUGGACAAAAUGCUCAUCAUGAGUCAGCUGGGAGCCUGUGCAGUGGUGACGGCCAAUUGCACCCUCGCUGCACAGGAGGUAACGGAACCAGAUGCUCAUCAGCAGUGCACAGCAUGAGGGCAACGACCACAAGCUGAAGCAGGAGAAAUUCCAUUGAAUAUAACUGGAGAAAUGUUUCAAAAUGAAAGCCGACAUGCACUGGAAUGGGUGCCCAAAGAGGUCUGUAACAUCUACACCCAUGGAGACUUCCAACAUUUAACAACAAAGCCCUAAGUAGCCUAGGCUCGUGCUGAAGUUAGCCCUGCUUUGAGGAGGUUGGUUGCAGCCCUCUAGAUGCUCCUUCCAACCAAAAUUAUUUGAUUAUUUUUUAAUUUUUUUUUUUAAACAGCUGUUGAUCCGGGAGACCUGGCUGGAGUUAGUUACAGAUUCCUCGAAAAGAACGAAGCUGUUAUCUCCACAGCAUCACCUGCCAGUUAUUACUUAUUUGUAAUAUGAAUGAAUUCAGUGCAUACAUCACAAGUCCAGACAGUCAAGAGACUUCAGGUCUGAGAUUUUAUCUUUGAGGAUCAAAGAACUGAACUUUCUCUCCCUGAUCUUCAACCUGAGCAAAAAAAGAGGCCUGUCUUUAAUGCACUGUCAAAACCUCCUCACUUCAGAGGCAGCAUGAGAAAGACUAUUUCUGGGCUUUGUUUUAGAUUUAUGCAGCUUGUGGUGGCAACUGGACACGUUGUGAGACCUUCUAAUAAAACAAUUGUUUUGGCCUGAAAUGUUGUAGAAGCAGUGUACAACAGAUGUCCUCCAAAUGCAACACCUACUUCAAUAUCUGUAUCCUACCAUAUAUACACGCACAUUUAUAUGCAGCAAUCCAGGCUGCCAAAGGCUCAGAAAAUCGGCUAGCUACCAUGAGAAGUGGUUGCUGGGUUUUUGCAGAAUCACACUGCAAAUGCAAGGUGUGGAUCCACGAGGCUAUGCCUUCCAGCAGCAUGGGCUGCAGUGCCAGGUGUACCGGCACACCAGGAGAAGCUAAGGACAGAGAACUCCCCAAAAGACACUGGUGUGCAAGGGUAUUUUUACCUCCCAGGCUCAGCACAGACACAGGUCACCACAGUGAGUCACAGCCCCAG